rnacentral:misc_RNA from 1 species
UUUCCGUAGGUGAACCUGCGGAAGGAUCAUUACUGAGUGAGGGCCCCUCGGGGGCCAACCUCCCACCCGUGUGUAACGAACCUUGUUGCUUCGGCGGGCCCGCCUCACGGCCGCCGGGGUGCAUCUGCCCCCGGGCCCGCGUACGCCGAAACCACCUGUGAACGUUGUCUGAAGUAUGCAGUCUGAGACAAUUACUAAAUUAAUUAAAACUUUCAACAACGGAUCUCUUGGUUCUG